AAGCUUUCCCUGCAAUAUUAUCUCAGCAGCUCCCUAGCUGCUUACCCUGAAAACGAGGGAUCCAAACGGAGGGUGUUGCACUCUGCUAACGCUGGUCCUGUGCGUGGCUGUGGCAUAUGAGCGGCAGGUCUGAAAAAGCAGGUGUGUGCUGGGACGGGCACUGGACUGGAACGCAGGCGGACGCUCUCGGGUUUACCUGCUUCCUGUUAACAGAUUGUGGGCUCCCAGGGCAUAUGUCUGCACGCUGAGGCCGAGGCGGAGAAGGGGCUUCCUGAGCGUCCCAGUACACUGACAGAGACACUUGGAUUGGACUUAAUCUUAAACCUCUGGAGUUCAAGACCUUUUAAAAAGGGCUAAAUAAACAAUCUCUACAUGUAAAAGGCCACUGACUCCUACUUCCUCUGUAUAGAGCAACUGUUGAACUCAGCUGCCUGUAGGGCGUGAUUCUCAGUCACCAGACUCAGCAAAAGGUUUUAGAAGCGUUCGACCAAACCUACAAGAUAAAAGAUCACCAACUCAGGCACCCCCUCCACCAGAAAGAAAAGAGAGCUUUCAUAGCUCUUUGAUAACCAGUCACACAAAGGGUGUCAUUUU
rnacentral:lncRNA from 1 species